rnacentral:rRNA from 1 species
UGGGGAAUUUUGGACAAUGGGCGAAAGCCUGAUCCAGCAAUGCCGCGUGUGUGAAGAAGGCCUUAGGGUUGUAAAGCACUUUUGUCCGGAAAGAAAUCCUUGGCUCUAAUACAGUCGGGGGAUGACGGUACCGGAAGAAUAAGCACCGGCUAACUACGUGCCAGCAGCCGCGGUAAUACGUAGGGUGCAAGCGUUAAUCGGAAUUACUGGGCGUAAAGCGUGCGCAGGCGGUUUGCUAAGACCGAUGUGAAAUCCCCGGGGCUCAACCUGGGAACUGCAUUGGUGACUGGCAGGCUAGAGUAUGGCAGAGGGGGGUAGAAUUCCACGUGUAGCAGUGAAAUGCGUAGAGAUGUGGAGGAAUACCGAUGGCGAAGGCAGCCCCCUGGGCCAAUACUGACGCUCAUGCACGAAAGCGUGGGGAGCAAACAGGAUUAGAUACCCUGGUAGUCCACGCCCUAAACGAUGUCAACUAGUUGUUGGGGAUUCAUUUCCUUAGUAACGUAGCUAACGCGUGAAGUUGACCGCCUGGGGAGUACGGUCGCAAGAUUAAAACUCAAAUGAAUUGACGGGGUCAUAGCUG